GAGACUCUGUGCGCGUGCAUAUCAAUAAGCGGAGGAAAAGAAACUAACAAGGAUUCCCCUAGUAACGGCGAGUGAAGCGGGAAGAGCUCAAAUUUGAAAUCUUAAAGGGUUUCCCUUUACGAAUUGUAGUUUAAAGAAGUGUUUUCUGUUGGAGUUUCGGUAAAAGUUCUUUGGAAUAGGACAUCAUAGAGGGUGAGAAUCCCGUAUUUGACCGUUACUUUCCAGCUGUGUGAUACACUUUCAAAGAGUCGGAUUGUUUGGGAAUGCAGUCCAAGAUGGGUGGUAAAUUUCAUCUAAAGCUAAAUAUUGGCGAGAGACCGAUAGCGAACAAGUACCGUGAGGGAAAGAUGAAAAGAACUUUGAAAAGAGAGUUAAACAGUACGUGAAAUUGUCAAAAGGGAAGCGUUUGACACCAGUGUUGUUUAGUUGAAAAUCAAUUCAAUAGUUUUUGAUUCUAAGUAGUAUUGACUUCAUCAGCUUGCUGCUUUCUUCUCAGAAAUUAUUGAAUGCACUUUUCAGUUAACAAGUCAACAUCAAUUUCUUUUGUUGUAAAAGGGUAAGAGGAAGGUGGCUUGCGCUUCGGCUCAAGUGUUUAUAGCCUUUUAUCUCUGCAAUCGGAGAGAUUGAGGUCUGCAGCGUAGAUCCUUCGGGGUUAGAUACAUUGGUGCUAAGCUAUAGCCUUGUAUAGACAACUUGUUGACUAUGCUCAGUCAUGUAGCUUACUCGCUGAUGCUAUUUUACCUACGCUUAGGAUGUUGACAGCAGUAUAGACUGU
rnacentral:rRNA from 1 species